rnacentral:rRNA from 1 species
UACGGAGGGGGGCUAGCGUUGUUCGGAAUUACUGGGCGUAAAGCGCACGUAGGCGGCUUUGUAAGUUAGAGGUGAAAGCCCGGGGCUCAACUCCGGAAUUGCCUUUAAGACUGCAUCGCUAGAAUUGUGGAGAGGUAAGUGGAAUUCCGAGUGUAGAGGUGAAAUUCGUAGAUAUUCGGAAGAACACCGGUGGCGAAGGCGGCCAACUGGACAGAUACUGACGCUGAGACGAC